rfam:Kazachstania saulgeensis genome assembly, contig: scaffold_09
GGUUGUAUAGUGUAGUGGUUAUCACUGUCGGUUUUGAUCCGACCAACCCCGGUUCGAAUCCGGGUACGACCU